GACUUUUGACCUUCAGGACUAUAUUUCCGUAUAACCCGUGGUGGAUAGCGGUGGUCGUUGGAGGUGGUUAGCGGUGGUUGAAGAGGGUCGGAGGUGAACAAGGGCAAGGACGACGAGGAAGACGAGGAGAACGAGAUGGACAAAGAUGACGAAGAUUUGUGCACGUAUUCGGGGUAUAACCCGAGGUGGUUUGCAGUGGUCGUUGGAGGUGGUUGGCGGUGGUUGCGGCCGAUAGAGGUGGACGAGAAGGAGGAGGAUCAGAAUUAAAGAAGAAGGAUCAGGAGUAGGAACAGGAGUAGGAGUAGGACUAGGUGUAGGAUCAAGAGUGGAAGUGGGAGUGGGAGUGGGAGUACCCUACCCUACCCUACCUUACCGUACCCUAACCUACCCUACCCUACCCUACCCUACCCUACCCCACCCUACCCUUUCCGCCCCUGCCCUCUUCCUGUACUCCUACUUCUACUACGAUCUUACUCCAACU